ACGGGGCGCCAGCCAGGGCGCCAUAUAAUUUAUCAAUGGAGCCAACUCCGAUGAGGGAAUUCCGUAGCGCUAUGUGCAUGUGCAUUUUAGCUUUUCUCAAGCGUAGAUAACCUUGAGGAAUAAGGGCUGGGGUAAGGACGGGUGCCAGCCGCCCGCGGUAAUACCCGCAGCCCAACUGGUGUUCGAUCCUAUUGAGUCAUAAAACGUUCGUAGCCGGUUUGGUAAAUCUUUGGGUAAAUCGGGAGGCUCAACUUUCCGACUUCCGAAGAGACUGCCAAACUUGGGACCGGGAGAGGCUAGAGGUACUUCUGGGGUAGGGGUAAAAUCCUGUAAUCCUAGAAGGACCACCGGUGGCGAAGGCGUCUCGCUAGAACGGAUCCGACGGUGAGGGACGAAGCCCUGGGUCGCAAACGGGAUUAGAUACCCCGGUAGUCCAGGGUGUAAACGCUGCAGACUUGGUGUUGGGGGCCCUACGGGGGCGUUCAGUGCCGGAGAGAAGUUGUUAAGACUGCUACUUGGGGAGUACGUCCGCAAGGAUGAAACUUAAAGGAAUUGGCGGGGGAGCAC
rnacentral:rRNA from 1 species